rnacentral:lncRNA from 1 species
AUUAACUUUAAUUUUGCUUUUAAAAAUCUUUUUAUUGUUAGUCUUUAUCUUGUUUUUAUUUCAUUUUAUUAUUUUUUGUCCAAUGAUAAGUCCAACGAAAGAGGUACUGAUCCAUCGUCACACGCCAAUCUGCAAGCAAUUCUUCAGGAGCAGAAACACGCUCCUCUCAUCCCAAUCCAAGCCAGUUUUUCUGCACUCUUCAACAAACCCUAAAGUCCCAAAUUCCACACUAUAAAUAACAACUUGCACACACAAUCAGGGGGCCGAAAUUCAUAGAAAGAGAACCAAAAAUCGGCCAAAAAUCCAACGCACAAAUUCAUGAACCACAGUUCACAAUCAAUUUUCACAACCCAAAUUAAAACACAACUUUCCCAAAAUCUGCACAAAAGAAAAACAGCCAAUGCAAUACAAUUCGGAUGCAUGACUCACUAACAACACAACACACAGCCGUGAUAAUCAUCAAACAACCAAUACACCAUCGUUCCAAACCAAAUCCAACACGUCCAGAACCUCAAACCAAACAAAUCCACUAUGAAAGGUAGUUA